AUUGAACGCUGGCGGCAGGCCUAACACAUGCAAGUCGGACGGUAGCACAGAGAGCUUGCUCUUGGGUGACGAGUGGCGGACGGGUGAGUAAUGUCUGGGGAUCUGCCCGAUAGAGGGGGAUAACCACUGGAAACGGUAGCUAAUACCGCAUAACGUCUACGGACCAAAGUGGGGGACCUUCGGGCCUCACACCAUCGGAUGUGCCCAGAUGGGAUCAGCUAGUAGGUGGGGUAAUGGCUCACCUAGGCGACGAUCCGUAGCUGGUCUGAGAGGAUGACCAGCCACACUGGGACUGAGACACGGUCCAGACUCCUACGGGAGGCAGCAGGGGGGAAGAUUGCACAAUGGGCGCAAGCCUGAUGCAGCCAUGCCGCGUGUAUGAAGAAGGCCUUCGGGUUGUAAAGUACUUUCAGCGGGGAGGAAGGGUUGCUGGUUAAUAACCAGCGACAUUGACGUUACCCGCAGAAGAAGCACCGGCUAACUCCGUGCCAGCCGCCGCUGUAA
rnacentral:rRNA from 1 species